GGCUCAGAAUGAACGUUGGCGGCGUGGAUUAGGCAUGCAAGUCGAGCGCUCAUAGCAAUAUGGGAGCGGCGAACGGCGUAGUAAUAUGUAGGAACGUACCCUCGGGUCGGGGAUAGCCAUGGGAAACUGUGGGUAAUACCCGAUAAUCUCUGCGGAGCAAAGGUGUGAUUCCGCCUGAGGAGCGGCCUACACGAUAUUAGCUAGUUGGUAGGGUAAUGGCCUACCAAGGCUACGAUGUCUAGGGGGUGUGAGAGCAUGGCCCCCACGACCGGAACUGAGAUACUGUCCGGACACCUACGGGUGGCUGCAGUCGAGAAUCUUCCGCAAUGGACGAAAGUCUGACGGAGCGACGCCGCGUGCGGGAUGAAGGCCCUUGGGUUGUAAACCGCUGUCAGAGGGGGAUGAAAUCUUCGGAGGUGCUCCUCCAAAGUUGACAGAGCCUCAAAGGAAGCACGGGCUAAGUACGUG
rnacentral:rRNA from 1 species